UGAAAACGAAGUUGCUGCUUCAUUGGAUUACACUGACCUGGUGAAGAAGUUUGCAAACAGAAGGCGGCCCGUAAAGCAUCAUGUUAAAUAUGUCCGUCUGUCCGGGUCCAGGUCCGGGGUUGGUAGACGCUGGCAGGGGGUGGACCAUGGUUGACAGUGGUUCUCAAUUUUGGUCUCUGUUAAUAAACCGUGGAUUCGAAGACAGAAAACUGCCCGUGUGUGAGCCUGCUUUUAUUUUCACGCAAUGCUACAAUAUGUUUAAGUCAUGAUAAAUACGGAUUGGAAAUGCAACGUGGGGAAAAGAAUGUCUUUAAUGUGACGCAGUAAUGUUAAUGAAUGGGGAAAAAUAUAAAAUGGCUGUUCACACCUACUAUCUGUAUAUGCAUGAUAAAUAUGCAAUUUUACAAGUGUUAAAAUGAUAGAUUAGCGAAAGGAAGAUGCAUAAAGUUCGGCCAGGGUGUCCUCGGCUCACCGCAUACCAGCAACACCUGUAGUCUGGCCAUGCACCUGCAGGCUUGCCUGUAAGCUGCCCAGAGCUGCAUUGUCCUCCAAUGCUGUAGCUCUUUGGUGGCUGCACGGUGAGUCCGCAGUGUGAAAAGAAGUGGUCGGCUGACGGCACACGCUUCGGAGGACAGCAUGUGUUCAUCUUUGCCGCUUGCGAGUCAGCCCGGGGGUGGUAGCGGUGAGCUGAGCCUAAAAAUAAUUGGCUAUUCCAAAUUGGGAGAAAAUAAUAAAAAAUAAUUGCCGAUUACUACAUUUAAAAAAAGAAAAACAGUUAUCCUUAAGAAAACAAAGAGUAUUGCUAGUGAUAUUAGUGUGAAUCAUAAGAAUAAUUAGUUAACAUAAAUUAUUUAGAGAAUUGUUCAUUAAACUGUUGUAUAAUUAGAAUAUUAGUAAAAAGCAUUAUUCUGUUUCUGGAAUAUAUGUAAAUAAUGGACAAUUUAACCUAAAAGCAAAUAGUUUGUGGUUUUUGGCAUGUUACACUAUUUUUUAAAACUUUUUUUUUUUUAUGAACGGUACAAUUUCCAUUGUUUUACAUGACUGCCCAGCUGUACUCUGUACUGAAAAGUGAAGCCUCAUAACAUUGUCAACAGUAAUUUAUCAUAUGAAGGUGAAGCAAUUUAUACAGGGAAAACAAUAUGCAUCAAUCUGUUUAAGGGAAUGAGGCCUGUAUAUAUAUGUUUUGUAUAUAUACAGGGUCAAGGGAUCAAAUUGGUGAUACAUCAGCAUCAUUGCAUUACCAUCCUUGUCUCCAGUUUGGUUUACUGUAUGAGAAUACUGCCUAUAACAUUUAUCAUAUAGCCACACAACAGCUUGAUUUAUAUAUCAUUUAGAGUGCUCAGUGAUUUUCUUCUUUACAUCCAGGAGCUUGACAGCAGAUGUUGGUAAGCUAACGGCCUCAGGAGGACAAAAUGUAGUUCUGCAGGUGUCUGCUUGAGCUAAACGUGUUCCUGACAAGUAGGGUCUGCUGUAGUGCAAUGAGGAGAAACAGUCCAGCGAAUCCCCAGCGAAGACUGUCAACUUCACACAACCUGGACACAAACCUGCGCUCCCCUGACUGUAUGACGUCCUGUACACCACCAAGUGAGCUACCUGAGGGCCUCAAUAAUAUCAUUUUUAUCAGUUGUCCAACUUGAUAUCUAGUUCCCAUUUAACAAUACCCAUAGCACUGAUUUGCUUUUGUCUCGGGCUAGUUAGAUAACUUUCUAUAACACUUACCCUUUAAAGCCUGUAAUCAUGAGGACAGUGACUUGCAAUUAUGGGGAUUGUUUUCACAACAUGCAGCUAUUUAGGCUGUACCAGAUGGUUCAGUGUCAUUAAACAUUAUAUAAAUCAGAUAGAAUUCUCAGUUUUGUUAAUUGUGUUAAGCCUGACCUCCAGACUCAUUAUUUAAUAGAUGUUGGGUGAAAUGCCUAUACAUUUGGCUUUAGCAAGCACUUCACAAAAUGAAUAGCUUAUCAAAUUAUAAUCAAGACUAUUUAAUUUCUAAAGUUUGUUGACACAUGUCAUACAUUUACAGAAAACAAACCUUGCUGAAGGACAAAAAUGCAAUAUUAUUACUUUACUAAGUAUCAGAAGUGAACCAAUUUUGCAGCAUCAUAAAACACCAAUCAUUCAGUGAAAAUAUUGUAACCUUUGUGUGGUUCAGGGGGUAGGAGCGAAGGCUAUUAUUAUUGGGGGUAGGAGCGAAGGCAGAUAUUAUUGACAGUACCCACCAUUCCGUACUGUCAAUAAUAUCUGCUAAACCUCUAUUUAAACCCCAAGUUAUGCACUUGCUCUCUGUCUUGGUUUUUUUGUUUGCGUGCACAGCUGACAAAACGUCAUUGACCAUUCUACCCUCACCACUGCUGGACAAAGCAUUAUCGCUCUGAAUACUCGAAUGCUGCAUUCCUGAACAUACUGAAUUCCUGAAUGGGCUGUCGGUUUUUGUUCAUGUAUCGCUAUACAGCUCUGCACACUCUGUUUUGUUGUGCUCUUGCUUGUUGUACAGCCCCGAGUCUGCUGCCUCGGCCCCGCUGAAUGUCCCAGGACGCUUUUCCAGCUCUGCGUUCUUUAAGUUGUGAGAAUUUUUUGGGGGCAGUUCAUCUAGGUUUGUUUUUUAUAACGUUGUUUGAAAGAAGAGAUUUUCCAGCUCUGUGUUCUUUAAAUACUGGCCCAAUGACAUGAUUCUGCUCUUUGAAAAUGAAAUUGCAGUCCAAAUGGCGAGAGAUUGGUUCUCUCCAUUUACCAUGUAGAAUCAAAUUCUCAAAUGGUGACAACAUUUCUUUUCUUGGAUAAUCCACCAAUCCUGGUUUCAAAACCAGGAUUUUUCACUUAGAACCAGCAGCUAUCCCCUUACACGUAUUCGCCAUGACAGUUGGGUCUGUCACUCAUAUUGCACAGCGCCCGCCGUGCAGGCCAGCUGCCAAUCUUCACAUUCACUUCGGCUCUCUCUCCUCAGCCCCCUGCUGCUGACAAGAUCCAGCCCAAAAAUGUAUGCAAGAAAUGCUUGCUGAGCGUAAACAGAAUAGUCUUGAUAAACGUUCUAUUGUUUCAGGACAUGGAUACAUGCAGUCAUAGAUACUAUAUAUGUCUUCAUGUUAUUAAGGCAAUGCGACAGCUCAUCAAUCCACUUCAUUGGCACCAUUGUCUCCCCCUCCAUCCAGCGCAACGCAGAAACCAGCCAACAGAAGUACCACCCUCACAGUACAAGCAUGCUCCAUCUGGCAUUCAUCUGUGCAGCUUCCUGUCAUUUUUGCCUGUCUAUCACUCUUGUAGCUGCCCAGGACAAAAAAAAGUUGUGUAAAAAAGCGCCUAUGCUAUUAACCCUUUUAGGACCAGGAUCAUUAACACGAUCAUACUGAGGUGGGCUUCUGGGACCACGAUCGUGUAAACACGAUAAAAAAACGCACUUCGUUUUGAUGACUUACAGGCCACCGUACUUUGCAGUACAGGCUUGAAACACAUAUCAUUGGUUAGGGGAGUGACUAUGACCUAUGACAAUGUCUUGUAAUUUGCCCAAACAUUUUUCAAUAAAACUUUCAGGAAGUAUUAUAAGGUCCCUCAGGUCAUAGAAUAACACAUUUUUAUACAUGUAUCUCUAAGCAGAAUACAUAAUAAAAAAUACUUCACAUUUAAAAAAAUAAAUAAAUAAAUAAAUAUUGUGUUGAAAAAAAGGGAAACAUUUAAAAUGACAUAAUUUCCAAGGUGCUACUGUAAAAAAUGGAUUUUCUAGAUUAUUUUUAUAGGAAGAGAGUCAAAUAUAGCCAAAAAACACCUGGUCCUGGGGGAGCAUCCCACUGAAAUGAUUGGUCCUGAACGGGUUAAGCCUUUACAAUCAACUAUUCAGCAACAAUACAGUCAGCACUCACAUAUCCCACUCUAUAACAUUUUUACUUCAGUGACAGUUGAACAAGUGUGAUGCAUAUCUGAUUAUUUUAUUUUGGCCCGUUCCAACCCUUGUCCGUUUUUUCAAGGAGCACAAAAAAGAUACAAUGUCAAAAAUACAUAGCUGAAAGGACUGUGUAUUCAAAUAAGUAGGCUUCCAUUGAGAUGUACUGUAGUUAGUUUUGUUGGUACAGUACUAUAUUUAUAACAGAAGAAGUAUUUUAAUUCAGAACGAUAUGAUUCUGAAAAUAUCACUUGCCAAAACAGAUGGCAUGUGGACUGUAAUGCAGUACAUACUUUUAAAUUCGGUACUUAUUGUAGCAGUAUGUAAAAUUCCCCAUUAACGAACCAACAGCAAAAUGAAAUCAAAAUGUUACCCAUGCACAGAAUUGCAUAAAACAUCAAAGGCAACGCAAUUUAACAAAAGAUUUAAAAAAACAAAACACCAGUUUCCAGAAUUAAAACAGUAUCCAAAGGGGGGGACGGGGGGACGGGACUCUCUUCUCAACCUUAGAGGCCCAGCCACGCUGGCCUCGUCCUCCACCAGGAAGGUUCUCCACAAGCCCAACCUAUUAUAACUCUUUUAUUUUCCAUUUUCUCACCUCUAGGUUCCCCUUGAGGGAAGUAUCAAUUGCUUCCCAGCCUUAGAGGCCGAUUUGGUUCGGUCUCUCCUCCGUGCAGAAUUUGGAAAACUACAUGGCAUAUUUUUUGUUUCAAGUUUCUGUUUAAUUUGCCAUUCAUUGCUAGAUAGAGAUACAACCGUAUUCCAAAAGCAGACACACAUGUUGGAAAAUAAAUCCAUAGCUUCAUCUGUAAAGGUAAACAUGAACUUUAAUCUGUUAAAUUGAACACUUAUAAAGGAUUUAGCCUUGAAGUUUGUACUGCUGCUCCAUCUAAGACCGUAAAUCCUCUAUAAACUGUUUUUAUUUAUUUUGAAUAAAUUGACUCAUCUAAAAUUCAGUGAGUGUGUCACUGCAGGAAAUGUAAGCAGUAAGUCAAAAGGUUAUUUGAUUUGAUCAUAUGCAUGUUCUUUGCCAAACUAGUUUGUAAUUGUAUCCCUUUGACCUGAAAAAUGUACUGAGCUUUAUAACAGGCAGCCAGAAAUCCACAUAAAACAGCACUUUGUGAAUUAAUAUUAAAUUAUUUUAAUGGUGGCUGUUGUUUUCAGAAUAUCAAUAAGAAUGCAUCGAGGAUCAUUUUUUAUUAUUAUUAUUGAGCCAACAAUAAAAUAUCUGACAGUACAUCAUGGAUUUGGGGUUUGGGCUUGCCUUUUAGUGCACUGUGGCAAAGUGGUAAAGACGUGCAGGUGAGUGCAGUGCAGAGUAAUCACACGGACAACGUUUGUACAGGUGCAAGGGUGUUUAUUUAAUUUAAUAAAUGUCCAGAGCCUUAAGGCAAACCUGCAAAUAAUAACAGUGUUGGAAGUGAUACAGCGGCGUGUAUCACUUCGGUUUGUAAUCCCACAGGUUUGACCCGUAACCCAAAGUCCCGUUCCGUCACCCACACAAAACACAAAAUACAGACACAAUUAGACAGUGCGUGAUUCUAGUGCUAGUGGUGAAAAACAAAGACAGUUCCUGUAGUGGAAAAGAUGAAUGGUGAAGUCCGGGUUUUUCGCUGGCCUGCGGCUGCAGCUCCGGAUCGUGCUCAGUAAUCUUCAGUGACUAAUAACACACAAGACACACAGUGUUAAUACACAGACACGAAAACACUCACGGUUUACUCACAGUACGGGCUCCUUCUCGGUUAUUUAACUUAACCAUAUGCAAAGGAACAGAUCACUCAAGCCAUGCCCCCUAUUUAUACCCUCGCCCAUGACCCCGAGGUUAACGAGCGCAUCCGCUCCUCCAGUCCUCGGAUGCCACGCCGCUUACCGUCCGGGUCAAUGAGCUUGGGUGCCGUAGCUCCGCCCCCUUCCUAAAUGACCGACUUCCACGUACCCUACGGAAUAAAUUGUCGUGCUAUUUAAUUAAGGGUACUCUGUUCCUCUUGCACCGUGCCCUCACAGGUCGAGAGGGAGAUCUAACACCAAGAGUCAUUCGAUCUCUGUCACAUGCACCCAUGAUGAUUAGGCCAAAAAGUUAGAAGUUGUGACAGGGACUUUACAAAGUCAUGAAUUUAAACAAAAUGCUUAUUUUUAUUGGCAUAGUUAUAAGCCAGUUGAUUGACACUUUUCAGCCUAUAUGCUUUGUAGAAUCUGUCUUCUGUCUAAUGGUAGAGAAGCUCAGCAAUACUGUGUUUUGAUUUGUUUUAUAAACAAUUAAUGAUGCCAGAGAAAGUUAAGGGAAUCAGCGUCUACACUUGUAAUUAAAGCUUUGUGGCUUUCUUUGGACCGAUAAAAGAGAUCAGGAUAUGUUAAGGAUUAAUCCAUCACUAAAAAGUCACAUCAUCUAUUUUAACAAUUUCCCAGCAUGAGGACACACCAGUGUUUCAUCUUAGGUCUUGCAAAUUAAUGCUUAUGUCUCACACAGGCAACAUUGUCUUUGUAAGCUGUCAACCAUUUGAUCUACCUGACUGUAGUCUUGUUUCUAUGAGACUUUCAGCCAAGUCUUAAUCCAAACUCACUUAAAUCCAGCUACAAAUCCAACUGGGACCAUCAUCAGAGGCAACCACUGAAAAAAGUGUUAAAAUUAGAGGGCAAAUUACUCCCAGACCCAAAACCUUUCCUGGAGCUCUGAAGGUAAGCAUAUUUCACAACCUACUGUAUACUAAAAAAAGCUGCUUGAACUUUGUAAUAUUAUUAAUAUUGUAGCGAUCUCGGUUUACGCAGGCAGGCGCAUCACACAGGGCGAGGCAAUCCACACACAGGAGGAGGGUGGGUGCGAACCCAGGACUUCUAAUAGCUAAAGAGCCGGCUCCUUUGCAAGAAGCGUAUAUCGGGCUUAUGUCUUCGUGUGUGAAUACGUCACCUACCAGCCCUGCUGCUGCCUUCCCCCGUGCACGCCACAAUGUAUUAGCAUAACAAAGAUGACCCAAUCAGGUGUGAAAACACUGAGCACCUUGACUUUCACUUGACACACUUUGGUCCAUUACCAUAAUGUAUUGCUAGCUAAUUAACAUACAUUGUCCUGCAUUUGUUAACUGGCAAGAGAACCACAGUGUAUAGACUUUAAUAGAGGUCCUCAGUAUCUCCACCUGAUUUGGUUUGAAACUUCCAGAAGAUAAAUCUAUAAGCUGAGUUCCUUACAUAUGUUCCUUUCUGUAUGUAAUAGUACCAUCUAUUUUGGAAAAGUACAUUGUUGUGGCUUAUGGCAUAAUUGGUGCAUCUUUAUGAAAUUGGUGUCAAAGUGUAAUAAAUUAUAGAAAGCUUGUCUUCUGAUAGAGACUAAAUAAUUCCCUCAGGUUUAAACUUCUCCUUUAUAAAGUAGUGUAACAGAAAAUAUGAAAUUAAUAUAACUAAGUUUAAGCUUCCUAAUACAGUAGUAAAUUGGAAAAUCAUAUUUAAAUCUAUGCAAAUUACAAAGACAUCACAUUUACCUCUGAUCUAGACAGCGUGUUAAUAAAGAAUUUAACUCACCUCCUGUCACUGACCGAGAGGGGUAUUCAGUAGGUUUCUAUUACAAAGGCUAUUUUAAUCAAAAUUGUGUGGAUUUUUAUGCACUUAUGCUCAGUACACAGUCAAAGCAGAAGGUUAAUUGGUGGACAUUGCUAAAAAGUCAAAGCUUUAUUUAAUUGUUUUCACAUUGCUCAGAGCAAGUGCAUCUAUGUUUUACUACAUACACAAAUACAAAUCUAAAUUAUUUGCUUAAAGCAUGUGUAACAGGGGGGAGAUCUGUGCUGACUGUCUGGCGCAUGCAUGGUACUGGAGGAAGGGGGCAGCAGCCUCGCAGAUCCGCCUGUCAGUCACGGCAGCGACACGGAGAGGUGGGGAAGAGGGUGUGUUGGCUUUCCCUCUCUCUGAGUGGCUGAGAGGCAGGCCUUGGAGGGAUUGCUGACCCUAUAAGAUAACACUCCGUUGUUCCCUCAGCCUGACCCUCUAAGAUGAAACGAGCCAGCUGGCGGAAGCUUGUUACCUAUAGAUGAAACUACCUCUAGGUGAUGCAAAAGAUUAAGCCAUGGUCUGCAUUCUGAUGAAGCAGAGUGGACAGAACAGUGAACAAUCAAAUUAAAUGUUUUACACAUUCAUGUAGCAUAGCUUAUUAUAAAAUUGAACACGAUCAUGAGAUACUACUGCUUUAAUGGGGCUACCAUUAGGGCUACUAUCCAUUGUUAAGGCUGGGAUUUUGUCACAGCAAUUUGUACCUAAUAACCUCCAAUGUUUUGUUGCUAUUUAUAAUAAAUUGACAUGUAGAGACAUACUGAUUUUAAAAGUUCACACUAAAGGUAAUGGAAUCAGAAUUGUGAAUUGUAAAAGAAAUUGUUGCUUACCUGCUUUUAUGUAUUUAAUUCCAUAGUAGUUUCUAGAUAACAUAUUUAAUGGUAAAUGUUACCUAUGUAAGAUUACAUCAUUAAUAUACUUGGGGGAAAUUAGAUAUUGGGAAACAUUUCACUAAAAGAGGGUGAGCAUGUUACCCCUGCAAUGGGAAAUGUGGAGGUUAAUGGAAAACCUUCUCUAAACUGGGGAAAUGUAACACUGUAUAAAGGAAAAGUUCAAAUUGUGGUGUAUCGGCACCCUGUAAAAUAAAAUAAAAAUGGGUAUGUAUUAAAACCUUUUCAGCUUGUUUUUAUUUUUAGUUAUUAAGUAUUUUGAGAUGAUUGAACACAGCAUGAGAUUAAUUAUAUGGCCCACCAAGAAGCUCAAAUCAAAUUCCUCUAGGGCAGUAUUUCUGAACUGUAUCCAAAGGAAAAGUGUUGACACAAUAGAACAGAACCAGUGAACAACACUUAUUUGUGUUAACAUCAGCAUGUAGGUAAACUGCUGUGUCCAAGCAUAAAUCUUGUCAGUUUGCUACAUUCCUCAAUAGUUUGUUCUUUUAUGUAUGAAGACCACAAUUAUCAAGAUUGUUUAUGUUCCUUAAAACCUGCUUAUUACUGUGCCAUAGAUAUAAAAUAAAUACAAAGAUA